rnacentral:rRNA from 1 species
UACGUAGGGCGGCAAGCGUUGUCCGGAAUUAUUGGGCGUAAAGAGCUCGUAGGCGGCUCGUCGCGUCGACCGUGAAACCCGCGGCUUAACUGCGGGCUUGCGGUUGAUACGGGCGGGCUAGAGUUCGGUAGGGGAGAACUGGAAUUCCUGGUGUGAGCGGUGGAAAUGACGCAGAUAUCGGGAGGAACACCGGUGGCGAAGGCGGUUCUCUGGCCUUACCUGACGCUGAGGAGCGAAGCGUGGGAGCGAACAGG